rnacentral:lncRNA from 1 species
GCAUAUCAUAGUAAAACUGCUCCAGGGGGUUGCUUGGAAUGAAUUAUUAAUAUGAAUCCCUCUCUCCCUUAUGCUUCACACCCUGAUUUUAUGGGACUUGGCGUGGGUUGGGGUGUCUAUUAGAUUCACUUAUUGCCUGUUUAGUGAGAGUACUUUGUAGACUGCAUCCAAAGGUCAAUAUAUAUAUAUAUAUAUAUAUUUUUUUUUCUAACAGAAUCCCAAAUUUCACAUGCCACAAAGACGAGAUGGCCCCAAAUACGAAAGACGAGCUACUGAAAAGAAGCAAGCUCACCAGAAAGCCGUGAUUAAAUUCAUGCAGAAGCUCAGCAGAGAUGAGCGUGCCGUGACUGCAGGACGGAACCUUUCUGAAGACCACAUGCGAGUACCACACUCACACAAGAUGCCUGUAAGUAUAAUGUGAACUGCAGGUGACUGUGCCUUCAACUUUUAACACACUUCUCCACUUAAGCUAUUCAGGGCUCACACUUAAACAGUGAUCCACAGCUGCUGCAAAUUGAUUUAUCCCCUGAUGACAGUCAGUUGCUGACCGAGUUGCUGGAGAGAAAGGGCUCUUCAGUUCAGGUAUUCCUUUCCUUAUUACUUUUUCAUUUUUACCCUGGCUUUAUCUUACUUGUGGCUUAUGAUUAAUGCAAGAUUGCAAGUUUAAUAUGUGUUACAAUCUAUACGUCACCUCUACUGGGCAAAAGCAGGGUUUUCUUUUGUUUCUUAAACAGGGAGAAAAAGGACUUUGAAAGGGAUGCUGAGACAUCCCAAUACUGCAGACACCUUUUUAGCAGCACCUUGUUAUUUGCGCUCUUGCUGAAAUGGUGGUUUUCAGAUUGGAAAUAGCAUGUUUACUCAGCCUGUGGAAAGAUGAUGGCUUCUAUCUGACGAGAAUGCAGUAUUUUCCUCCACUCAUGCGCUGACUUUGCUGAUCUUCAAACUCACUGAUACAUCUCUACAUGCAGCUGAGCUAUAUACCAUUUACAGUUUGCAUAAAACAUUGUGGCCCAUCCAGCAUAAACCUGUGAUGAGAGAUUGUGUUACACGCAGAGAAUCUGCAGCUCUCUCAAA